ACUUUCAGUAAUGGAUAUCUCAGCUUUUGCAUUAAUGAAGAAUGUAGCAAAAUGUGAUACUUGGUGUUAAUUGAAGAAUCUUGUAAACCAUCAAGUCUUUGAACACAAGUUGCACCCAAGCCAUUAGGCUAAAGGCCUGUUUGCCUGGGUAUUAUGCAUCGUCUCCCCUUCCAGCCCCUCGCCCAUCAGGUUUUGAUGAGAAAGGUGAAAGACAGCCUUCUGUGAUCUCAUCGACCAUAGUUGGCCCAAAAGUAAGUCCCCAACAAUGAUAGCACUGUGACUAUCAAUGGUAAAGCUCUUGAGGUGCCUCAUAUCUAGUGACGUGUGGUUAUUGUCCAUCUGACCCCAUCAGACCCCUACAUCACUCGAUUGAUGCUUGUAUCAUGACCCUAGGUCAAGCAAGAUUACAUAGUAAGUUUAAGGAUAUCAAUAAGUUGAGGAAAAGAAACCUACCAAGAUUCUCCUAGAAACGAUGAGCAAAUCGAGAAGAGAUCAGCUUGAGAAUUAGGCACUCAUGACAACCAAAUUGUAGUAUAGAAAAGCAUCCUCACCAGUGUACUAGGCCCAACUCCCUUGGAAAGAGAUGUCAGAGAGGGUAGGAGCCCCAUUGUGCCUAGACCUUAUCGCACCACAAGGCACUAUCGAUGAGUUCGGUUAUUUAGGAAUGCAACCCCAAUCAGGCAGUAAAUUCUAUCCAAGACUAAAUAUUAGUGAGAGAUUGAUAGCAAACAAGUACCAUUAGGGAAAGAUAAAAAUGACUUUGAAAAAAGAGUCAAAGAGUGCUUGAAAUUGUUAGGAGGGAAAUGGAUGAGAGCCAAUGAUGCACCCCAAUCGAAUGUGAAAAAGUAAGAGCUGGUCCAUUGAUUGGUUCUAAGUGUGGACUAAUACAGGUCACGAUGGUGGCCUAAGCUCAAAGUUUCGAUAUGCCUAUAAAGACAUUGUCACUACGAUCAUGGAAUGCAGCAUGCACUAUCUUGACAUACCUGAUCACCUAUGUGCUCUUGACAUUGCCCUAUGAGCUCUCCAUCUGGCCCAUCUUAAAACACAAGCCAAGGAGUUUGAUAUGUGUGUGAGUCAAUGAGCUAGAAAACCCAUAAGGCAAAGGAAGCUGAUUGGCAAGAUCCUUCAUGGGUGCACUACCAAUUGACCUUGAUUCAGAUAAGGGUUUAAGUAUGAACAUGCCUGUCAGAACCUAAAAGAUGGUGAAUUAUGCUUGAGUAGGGCAAAGCCAAAUGAAGCUCUAAUGGAGGCCCAUAGUGAUACUAACAUGUAAAUUGUUCACCUAACUUGAGUAUAGGGACAAAAAACUAAUCGAACUGUCUAAUAGUUGUUUCCCUCCAAAGUUUCCCUUAGGAUAGCUAGAGCCCUUGGUGAAUUCUAUUGGGAAAAGCCAAUGAUUAGAGGCAUUGGGGGGAUAAUGCCCUUGACAUAUUCUCAAACUUUAAAUAGAUAGAAUAGCAUGGCUACUUCAUUGAGCCAUGCCAAGAAAUCGAGAGCUCAAAGGGAGCCAAUUUUGGUAAGCAAAAUUGGUGAUGCAGGAUGAAUUGAAAGACAAGUUAUGGUGCCCAAUUGCAUGCUAACCUAGAACCCACAAUUUAACGACUUACCCACCCUGAAAAUAGCUCAACCAAAGGUAAGGUCUAGUAGCUAGAGGAGCACCACACAUCAUGUGAUGUCCAAUACACCAUUGGUGGCCCAUGAAAAUUCGAAGGAGUAAGUGCCAUUCAUGCCCUAUCAUAUUCAUAAUAGCAUCAGGUCUCCAAGGUGAACAACCUUUGGUAGUUAGAACAAUGUAGGCAAGGGAAGUCAGCAAAAUGGAUUCGUAACCUUGGGAAAAAGAUUGGGUCUGAGGGCUAGGCAUAGGGGUCCCAGUCUCAAACCCAGUGACUACUAGUGCACUACUUGAACUGCUCAUCGAGUGACAAAUAGUCGACUCAAAACUAGUACAGACAAAAGGAAUCUAACUAUUUAAUUAAAACAAAGCAUUGUGAUGGUCUUUACAGAUGCUUACACAAUGUAAUUUUUGCCCAAUGCUCUGAAUAUUAAAGCAAAGAAAUUCAACCAAACGUGGCUAAAUGGUGGGAGUAACUAUGACUCUUUAAGGUAGCCAAAUGCAUUGUCAUCUAAUUAGUGACAUACAUGAAUAGAUUAACAAGAUUCCCACCAUCCCUGUCUACUAUCCAGUGAAACCACAGCUAAGGGAACGAGCUUGGCAAAAUCUACUAGAAGAAAAGACCAUGUUGAGCUUGACUCUAAUAUGACUUUCUGAAUGACUUAAGAGGUGUAGUAUAAGUGGGAUCCCUUGGGAAAAAUUGAAAUACAACUACUUUUAAUGUUAUUUUACAUAUUUCAUGAAUCAAAGGUUGGGCACAACCUUUUCUUUUAGACCCAAGGUCAACCUUAAUCGAUCAAUUCGAGCAAAAGACAUUGUCAGGUGGAGAGUUUGGCUAGGGUGGCACAUUUGUUAAAAGAUAAUGUAAGUGCCUAAGAUGAGCUCAACUAGAACAGAAAGUGUGGUCUUUGCAAAUGACUUAAAUAUGUGAUGGGGUGUUGUAAGUAGACAAGUGGCCUUGCAACCACAAUCCAUUGAGAUUCAGCCCUUUGUCACUUUGAUUCAUCCUUUCCCCCAUGACACCUACUAAAGUCCUUUCACUUGAUUUUUUUACACCACACCCUUCUAAGGUUAGGGAUGAAUGGUGUUCUCCAUUGCAAUUGAUUUAGUUAGGUGAUGGCAUCCCUCCCUUGGCAUCUAAGUACAUGAAAACUAAAUGCCCUUAGUAUUUGUUAUAGUGAUAGGCUUGCCCUUGGUGUGAGCACUUGCCUUAAACUCCAUCGGCACACCCUGGCCCUUGGUCCAUGUUGUUGCCUUAAACACCAUCGACAGCAUCUAGCCUUGGUUGGUGUAGGCAGUUGUAUCCAACACCAUUAACAAAUGCUAGCCCAUUGUUGCCUCGAACACUAUCAGUAGAUGUUGGCCCCUUGGUGCGGAUGUUACCUUAGACACCAUCACCAGAUGCUAGCACUUACUUCAACCACUAUUAGCGCAAGUAAGCCCUUGGUAUGGAUUGUUGCUUCAGACACCUUUUUGGUAGAUGCUAGCAUUUAAGGUAGCAUGUGUACCAUGAGCCUCCUAUCAAAGGCACUUGU
rnacentral:rRNA from 1 species